GAUGAACGCUAGCGACAGGGCCUAACACAUGCAAGUCGAGCGGGCAAUUUAUCUAGCACUGAUUACUUCAAAUGGAAAUCAUAAGUGUAAUCAUGAAUUUCUACCUUUAAUAAAGAAAAAAGAAAUUCAUGUACGCAAAUAGUGAUAACACAUUUUAGUGGAGUGAUGAGUGCUGGAUAAAUUGCUAGCGGCGGACGGGUGCGUAACACGUGGGUAACCUGCCCCUAUCACUGGGAUAACACACUGAAAAGUGUGCUAAUACCAGAUAAUAUAAGCUUUUGGCAUCAUUAGCUUAUCAAAGAAUUUCGGAUAGGGAUGGGCCCGCGUCUGAUUAGCUAGUUGGUGAGGUAACGGCCCACCAAGGCGACGAUGCGUAGCUGAGCUGAGAGGCUAAACAGCCACACUGGGACUGAGACACGGCCCAGACUCCUACGGGAGGCAGCAGUAGGGAAUUUUCGGCAAU
rnacentral:rRNA from 1 species